GCAGCGGACGGGUGAGUAACGCGUGGGCAAUCUGCCCUCUAGUUUGGGAUAACAGUUCGAAAGGACUGCUAACACCGAAUAAUCUUAAAUUUGGGCAUCUAAAUUUAAGGAAAGUUAACGCUAGAGGAUGAGCCCGCGUCCCAUUAGCUAGUUGGUGAGGUAACGGCCCACCAAGGCAACGAUGGGUAGCCGACCUGAGAGGGUGACCGGCCACACUGGGACUGAGACUACGGCCCAGACUCCUACGGGAGGCAGCAGUAGGGAAUUUUCCGCAAUGGGACGAAAGUCUGACGGAGCAACGCCGCGUGAGGGAUGAAGGUUUUCGGAUCGUAAACCUCUGUCCGUUGGGGAAGAUAAUGACGGUACCCAAGGAGGAAGCCACGGCUAACUACGUGCCAGCCGCGGC
rnacentral:rRNA from 1 species